AACGAACGCUGGCGGCGUGCUUAACACAUGCAAGUCGAGUGCGCGCCUGUAGCAAUACAGGUGGCGCACGGCGCACGGGUGCGUAACACGUGGGUAACCUGCCCUUUGAUGGGGAAUAACCCCGGGAAACCGGGGCUAAUUCCGCAUAAGAUCCGCAAGGAUGAAAGCCGUAAGGCGUCGAAGGAGGGGCCCGCGCACGAUUAGCUAGUUGGUAGGGUAACGGCCUACCAAGGCUAUGAUCGUUAGCUGGUCUGAGAGGAUGGCCAGCCACACUGGAACUGAGACACGGUCCAGACUCCUACGGGAGGCAGCAGUGGGGAAUCUUGCACAAUGGGCGAAAGCCUGAUGCAGCGACGCCGCGUGGGGGAUGAAGCAUUUCGGUGUGUAAACCCCUUUCGACCCGGACGAAUGCCUCGCAAGAGGAGUGACGGUACGGGUAUAAGAAGCCCCGGCUAACUACGUGCCAGCAGCCGCGGUAAGACGUAGGGGGCCAGCGUUGUUCGGAAUUACUGGGUGUAAAGGGUCAGUAGGCGGUGUGGCAAGUUGGGAGUGAAAUCUAUGGGCUCAACCCAUAGGCUGCUUCCAAAACUGCUGUGCUUGAGUGUGGGAGAGGCGCGUGGAAUUGCAGGUGUAGCGGUGAAAUGCGUAGAUAUCUGCAGGAACACCCGUGGCGAAAGCGGCGCGCUGGACCACAACUGACGCUGAAUGACGAAAGCUAGGGGAGCAAACAGGAUUAGAUACCCUGGUAGUCCUAGCCCUAAACGAUCAGGACUUGGGGUGCCGCCCGUUCGGGCGUCGUCCCGGAGCUAACGC
rnacentral:rRNA from 1 species